GGGUGCGAUCAUAUCAGCACUAAUGCACCGGAUCCGAUCAAAACGCCGUAGUUAAGCGUGCUAAGGCGAGAGUAGUCCUAGGAUGUGUGACCUCCUGCGAAGUCCUCGUCUUGCACCCC
rfam:Gossypium raimondii scaffold_454_contig_2, whole genome shotgun sequence.